GUAGUCCACGCCGUAAACGAUGUCGACUAGCCGUUGGGGCACUUGAUGCUUUAGUGGCGCAGUUAACGCACUAAGUCGACCGCCUGGGGAGUACGGCCGCAAGGUUAAAACUCAAAUGAAUUGACGGGGGCCCGCACAAGCGGUGGAGCAUGUGGUUUAAUUCGACGCAACGCGAAGAACCUUACCUGGCCUUGACAUGUUGGGAACCUUCCAGAGAUGGAAGGGUGCCUUCGGGAACCCAAACACAGGUGCUGCAUGGCCGUCGUCAGCUCGUGUCGUGAGAUGUUGGGUUAAGUCCCGUAACGAGCGCAACCCCUAUCCCUAGUUGCCAGCACAUUAUGGUGGGAACU
rnacentral:rRNA from 1 species